rnacentral:rRNA from 17 species
AGUGAGUUUGAUUCUGGCUCAGAAUGAAUGCUGGCGGUAUGCUUUACACAUGCAAGUUGAACGUUAAUUUUAUUAGCGUAGCGAACGGGUGAGUAUAACAUAAUUAUUUACCUUUUAGUUUAGAAUAACUGUGUUGAUUUUUCAUAUUCAAUAAU